rnacentral:misc_RNA from 1 species
UUUCCGUAGGUGAACCUGCGGAAGGAUCAUUAGUGAAUUGAAUAAGUUAGCGGCUCUCUUAGGAGUCCCUCGCUUCAAAUCAUAUCCAGCACACCUGUGAACUGGAAGGCUGUCUGGACAACGUAAGUGAUUAGAGCGCUAGCCCUUUUUAUACUACCAUUAAAGAAACAAACGUGGUCUUAUAAUAAUCUAAUAAAACUUUCAACAACGGAUCUCUUGGCUCUU